rnacentral:rRNA from 1 species
UACGUAGGGGGCAAGCGUUGUCCGGAUUUAUUGGGCGUAAAGGGCGCGUAGGCGGUGCGGUAAGUCACCUGUGAAAUCUCCUGGCUCAACUGGGAGCUUGCAGGCGAAACUGCCGUGCUGGAGUGUGGGAGAGGUGCGUGGAAUUCCCGGUGUAGCGGUGAAAUGCGUAGAGAUGCGGAGGAACACCGAUGGCGAAGGCAGCCCCCUGGGCUGACACUGACGCUCAGGCACGAAAGCGUGGGGAGCAAACGGG